AGAUUGAACGCUGGCGGCAGGCCUAACACAUGCAAGUCGAGCGGCAGCACGGGUACUUGUACCUGGUGGCGAGCGGCGGACGGGUGAGUAAUGCCUAGGAAUCUGCCUGAUAGUGGGGGAUAACGUUCGGAAACGGACGCUAAUACCGCAUACGUCCUACGGGAGAAAGUGGGGGAUCUUCGGACCUCACGCUAUCAGAUGAGCCUAGGUCGAUUAGCUAGUUGGUAGGUAAAGCCUACAAGGCUACGAUCCGUAACUGGUCUGAGAGGAUGAUCAGUCACACUGGAACUGAGACACGGUCCAGACCUCCGUAACGGGAGCAGCGAGGUAGGGAAUAGUAGGACAAGUGGGACGAAAGUCCUAGAUCCGAGCCAGUCGCCGUCGUGUGUAGAAGUAGGUCUACGGUAUAGUAAAGCGUAAUUUAGGUGGAAGGUAGGCUAAGUUACUAA
rnacentral:rRNA from 1 species